GCCAGGCGCACCACUCACUGCUGUAGUCCCAGCAACUCGGGAGGCUGAGGUGGGGAGAUCGCUUGAACCCAGGAGUUCUGGGCUGUAAUGUGCUAUGCAGUUCAGUUGUCCACACUAAGUUAGGCAUCAAUAUGGUGACCUCCCAGGAGCAGGGGACCACCAGGUUGCCUAAAGAGGGGUGAACAGGCCUAAGUUGAAAACAAAGCAGGUCAAAACUCCCAUGUUGAUCAGUAGUGGCAUCGUGCCUGUAAAUAGCCACUGCACUCCAGCCUGGGCAGCAUAUUUAAAAAAAAAUUAAUU
rnacentral:lncRNA from 1 species